UGGGGAAUAUUGGACAAUGGGGGCAACCCUGAUCCAGCCAUGCCGCGUGAGUGAUGAAGGCCUUAGGGUUGUAAAGCUCUUUCAACGGUGAAGAUAAUGACGGUAACCGUAGAAGAAGCCCCGGCUAACUUCGUGCCAGCAGCCGCGGUAAUACGAAGGGGGCUAGCGUUGUUCGGAAUCACUGGGCGUAAAGCGCACGCAGGUGGUAACGCAAGUGGGGUGUGAAAGCCGCCAGCUCAACUGGCGGAGGCCAUCCCAAACUGCGUCACUUGAGGCCUGUAGAGGUAUGUGGAAUUGCCGGUGUAGUGGUGAAAUGCGUAGAGAUCGGCAGGAACGCCCAGGGGGAAGCCAGCAUACUGGACAGGUCCUGACACUCAGGUGCGACAGCGUGGGGAGCGAACCGGAUUAGAUACCCGGGUAGUCC
rnacentral:rRNA from 1 species